rnacentral:rRNA from 1 species
GAUGAACGCUAGCGGCAGGCUUAACACAUGCAAGUCGAGGGGUAACAUUGUGCUUGCACAGAUGACGACCGGCGCACGGGUGCGUAACGCGUAUAGAACCUACCUUUUACAGAGGGAUAGCCUUUAGAAAUGAAGAUUAACACCUCAUAGUAUUAUUGAUUGGCACCAAUUAAUAAUUAAACAUUUAUGGGUAAAAGAUGGCUAUGCGUCCUAUUAGCUAGAUGGUAAGGUAACGGCUUACCAUGGCAACGAUAGGUAGGGGUCCUGAGAGGGAGAUCCCCCACACUGGUACUGAGACACGGACCAG